CCUACGGGCGGCAGCAGUGGGGAAUAUUGGACAAUGGGGGCAACCCUGAUCCAGCCAUGCCGCGUGUGUGAAGGAGGCCCUCGGGUUGUAAAGCACUUUCAGUGAGGAAGAACGCCUGGUGGUUAAUACCCAUCAGGAAAGACAUCACUCACAGAAGAAGCACCGGCUAACUCCGUGCCAGCAGCCGCGGUAAUACGGAGGGUGCGAGCGUUAAUCGGAAUUACUGGGCGUAAAGCGCGCGUAGGUGGCUUGAUAAGCCGGUUGUGAAAGCCCCGGGCUCAACCUGGGAACGGCAUCCGGAACUGUCAAGCUAGAGUGCAGGAGAGGAAGGUAGAAUUCCCGGUGUAGCGGUGAAAUGCGUAGAGAUCGGGAGGAAUACCAGUGGCGAAGGCGGCCUUCUGGACUGACACUAACACUGAGGUGCGAAAGCGUGGGUAGCAAACAGGAUUAGAUACCCUUGUAGUC
rnacentral:rRNA from 1 species